rnacentral:rRNA from 1 species
GAUGAACGCUGGCGGUAUGCUUAACACAUGCAAGUCGAACGGUCACUUCGGUGAUAGUGGCGGACGGGUGAGUAACGCGUGAGAAUCUGUCUUCAGGUCGGGGACAACAGUUAGAAAUGACUGCUAAUACCGGAUGUGCCUUUGGGUGAAAGAUUUAUUGCCUGAAAAAGAGCUCGCGUCAGAUUAGCUAGUAGGUGGUGUAAGAGACUACCUAGGCUCCGAUCUGUAGCUGGUCUGAGAGGACGAUCAGCCACACGGGAACUGAGACACGGUCCAGACUCCUACGGGAGGCAGCAGUGGGGAAUUUUCCGCAAUGGGCGAAAGCCUGACGGAGCAAUACCGCGUGAGGGACGAAGGCUUUUGGGUCGUAAACCUCUUUUCUCAAGGAAGAUGAUGACGGUACUUGAGGAAUAAGCAUCGGCUAACUCUGUG